GCUUAGGGCCAUACCACCCUGAGCACGCCCGAUCUCGUCUGAUCUCGGAAGCUAAGCAGGGUCGGGCCUGGUUAGUAGUUGGAUGGGAGACCGCCUGGGAAUACCAGGUGCUGUAAGCA
ensembl:rRNA 5S_rRNA 5S ribosomal RNA